GCAAUCUCAAGCUCGCGCACGGCAACGCGGUGGUGUUCCGCUCGCUGCUGGGCAUCAGCUGGAUGUGGUUCUUCGGCGCGGUGUUCCUGUCGCAGUUCCCCAGCUUCGCCAAGGAGGUGCUG
rnacentral:ncRNA from 15 species